UUCGACUGUUUACCAAAAACAUAGCCAAUAGAAAAAAUUAUUAAGGGUGAUGCCUGCUCAAUGGUUGAACAAUAACAAACAACAACAACUAAAUAGCUGCGGUAACACCUGACCGUACAAAGGUAGCAUAAUAAACAGCCUACUAAUUAUAGGAUAGAAUGAAGGUAAAACGAAGACCCAACUGUCUCAAGACCCUAAGUCUAAAAUAGAAUGUGUGUGCAAAUCCACACCAAAACGGCAAGACGACCAGACCCUAAGAACUUUACCCAAAACUUAAUAAAAAAAAUAUAAGUUCUAAGUUUCGUUGGGGCAACGAUCUUUAAAAAAGUAACUAAGAUUAUUUAAUCAAAAAACAAACCACACAACAAACAAUACCUUAAACAGAUAACACCCAUUAAAAAAUAAUUUAAUGAAAAAAAAUAAAAGUUCCUUAGGGAUAACAGCGUUAUAUCGUUCUCUAGAAAAAUAUUCAAACGAUGUUUGCGACCUCGAUGUUGGAAUUAYRA
rnacentral:rRNA from 1 species